UCCCACUUGCACUAAAGUCAAUCGUCAUGGUAUCUCAUACCUUUAUUCUCUAAGUUACGAUCAUCCUGCUACUGGAUAAGCUUCAGUAUAUGGAUAUGUAAUGUUGUUCUUGAGAGUCCACUAUCUCUAUAGUGAUUUUUAAUCUUUCAAUGAUUCCUCUAAUCAAAUGAAAGUGUUGCAACACAUUUUUAGAUCCAAG
rnacentral:lncRNA from 1 species